AAUCCGCCCGCUCCGGCUGCCAUCUUGGAUAUACAGUAAUGCCUACAGUGUGAAGCGCUUCACUGACGGAGAGCCGGAGAGAGACAGACACACACACAGGGAGAGAGAACACGGUUUCAUCCGAACUCCAGACACGUAACCAAGAGGAAUAUAUAUAUAUUUUUGAUUUUUUAAAAUAAGACAAAGCUGCUAAUUUUCGCUGCCCCUUUAGCCGGACAUGCUAACCGUCUCUGAGGGACCCGAUUUGGGCAAACGGACGCCGGCGAACCGUCGACAUUUCACCGCUUCGACGUUUUAACCGACGGUUUUUUUUUUCUUUCUUUCUUGUUCAUUUCUUUUCCUCAGAGACAACAAGAAAAAACGAAAAAAAUAUAUAUAUAAAUAUAGAUAUAUAAAUAAAAAUCCGCUAGUAUUUUGUCUUCUCUAUAACGUUAUAGUGCGUUAAAGAGAACGCUCGCGCGCACAAUGUGAAUAACAAAUAUAGCGUUAGCCUGGUUAGCUUUUGUUUAUUUUAAUUUUUUUAUUUGUGUAUUUUAUUAAACUAACCCGUUCGGUAUAUUCAGACGUUUAAUACACGUAUUAAUCUACCUCGGUGUCAUUUUAACAGCGUGCGGAUGUGAAUAUAACGUCCACGACUUUUGUCCGAUAAAAGUGACAAACGUUUUAUUUCGAUUUGUUUUUAUCGCUUGUAAAAUGUUAAAUUUGUAAGAUUUCAUAACAUUAACGUGGUCAGGUAUAGAAUUAUUAAGUGUUUGGUUUGGGGGGGGUGAAGUGUCCCAGAGAGAAGCUGUGAUCUGUCCGAUAGGGAUCUCGUUUUGAUCUGUUGUUCAGUUUCGAUUAACAAACUGAUAUUUUUUUUUUGAAUUAUUUACUUAUUAUUAUAUCGUAAUGUUAAUCUCUUCAACACAGAUAUAUAAUUUACAGCUGUGUUUUUCGCCCCUACGUGAUUUCUGUCUCUCUUUCUGGUCUUGUUGUUUCGAGCUGUAAACGAUUUUAUAUGAUCGAGUGGAUCAUCGAUAGGUCGUUAUUGAGCACUUGGGAUUCUUGGGAUUUUUUUUUACCCCCCCCCCCCCCACACCCUUCAGCAUGGAUGUGUUUUAAAGCAGUUGAUCACUGGUCAAGAGAGCGAACAGGGACAUUACUGGAGGCCUGUCGGAUUCUGACGGAAAGAACUACUUGUUUUUUUUAAAGGACCGCAAAUAUAUAAAUCUAUACAAUGGGUUCUGCGACAAAACUGGCCUUCGGAGUGUUCCUCAUCUCAUGCUCCUCAGGCGCCAUCCUGGGACGCUCCGAGACCCGUGAAUGCGUGCACUACAAUUACGGCCCGAGCUCAGAGCAGCAGGGCAACCGCACCGGCAUCGAGGCCUGCGUAGGUGACAAGGACAAGCGGCUGCACUGCUUCGCCACGUGGCGCAACGUGUCAGGGAAUGUCGCAGUAGUGAAGCAGGGCUGUUGGCUCGACGAUGUCAACUGCUACGACAGCACGGAGUGCGUGGAGAGGAAAGAGGACCCCGACGUGUUUUUCUGCUGCUGCGAAGGCAACAUGUGCAACGAAAAGUUUCUCUACAACCCGGACGCACAGCCUGUACAGAGUAAGACUCCGAUCACCGACCGAAGCAGUGGAGUUUUUAAGGCUACGUCUAACCCAUUUACCCAGAAGCCUCCACUGUUCAGCACCCUCCUAUACUCUCUGGUGCCGAUCAUGGGCAUCGCAGCCAUCGCCCUCCUCUCCUUUUGGAUGUAUCGGCAUCACAAGCUGGCGUAUCCACCCGUCCUGGUGCCCACGCAGGACCCUGGCCCCAUGCCCCCUUCGCCCAUCCUCGGCCAGAAGCCGCUGCAGUUGCUGGAGAUUAAAGCCCGCGGUCGGUUCGGCUGUGUGUGGAAAGCACAGCUGCUUAACGACUACGUGGCUGUCAAGAUCUUCCCCAUUCAGGAUAAGCAGUCUUGGCAAAACGAGUAUGAAAUAUACAACGUUCCUGGCAUGAGGCACGAGAACAUCCUCCACUUCAUCGGUGCUGAGAAAAGAGGGGUCAACCUGGACACCGAGUUGUGGCUCAUUACAGCUUACCACGAAAAGGGUUCGCUGACUGACUAUUUAAAAGCCAACGUGGUGACGUGGAACGAGCUUUGCCACAUCGCUCAGACCAUGGCACGAGGUCUAGCAUACCUCCAUGCCGAUGUCCCUGGCCUCCGAGACCGGCACAAGCCGGCCAUUGCUCACAGGGAUAUCAAGAGUAAGAACGUGCUGUUGAAGGCUAAUCUGACAGCCUGCAUCGCUGAUUUUGGCCUGGCCUUGAGGUUCGAGGCCGGCAAGUCCGCCGGGGACACACAUGGACAAGUGGGAACGAGGCGCUACAUGGCUCCCGAGGUGCUAGAGGGGGCCAUCAAUUUCCAGCGAGAUGCCUUUCUCAGGAUAGACAUGUACGCCGUGGGCCUGGUGCUUUGGGAACUGGCAUCCCGCUGCACAGCCGCAGACGGUCCAGUGGAUGAGUACAUGCUACCGUUUGAGGAGGAGGUGGGUCAGCACCCCACUCUAGAGGACAUGCAGGAAGUGGUUGUGCAUAAAAAACUGAGGCCCACGCUGCGCGAGUGCUGGCACAAACAUCCGGGCCUGAGCAUGCUGUGUGAGACCAUAGAGGAGUGUUGGGACCACGAGGCCGAGGCUCGUCUCUCAGCAGGCUGCGUAGAGGAGCGCGUGCUACAGGUGCAGCGCCUCAUCAGCAUUUCCGCCCCCGACGACAUCGUCACCAUCGUCACCAUGGUGACAAACGUGGACUUUCCACCCAAGGAAUCCAGUCUAUGACUAGAGGAGAACAGCGUGUGACGUUACAAGGGGGGGAAAAAACCCACACAAAGCUCGGAGCCGCUCGCUCGAAAUCCCUGGUGAUUGUACUGUAUAUUUGGUUGGUUGCGGUCACCAAUGCUGGAUCUUACAAUGUGCUCGUUUCAGUAGCACUUAGAGUGCGUGUGUGUGCAAACUCAUGUCAUGAGGCUUUCCGGAUAGGCUGAACAGAAUUCAACCUAACAAGAGGACCUCAGGCGACACACUGACUUUUAGCAACCGGACAGUGUCACACGUAGUGACACUCUCGUUUCAUCCGAACGAGAGAGAAACAGAGCUUUUUUUUUUUUUCUCUGAGCAAAGAAGGAGAAAAAGGAAAAAAAAAACUUCUUUUCCUUAUUUCAGUGUACAAAAAAGAGCAACAGUACUUUCUGAGAACACAUUUGACUCGUUGCAAUGCCAAUACGAAACAGCUUCUGAAUGUCUAGCGUGUCACUGCUGUAUAUUCAACCGAGAGGAUGAAAAAAAAAAUCAAUCGUUUUGUAUCUCUGGAUUUCCCUCCCAGCGUUUCUGUCAAAUAACCACGAACCUCUCUCGACAAGAGACCGAGGGUCCUAACGCUCAUUCUAACGCAAUAUCCUUUGCGUCUCUGCAACAUGAUUUGAUUUGCAUGGUGCUGACUGGCCACGUUAGCGUUUUCGGGAUAAGUCGUCCGCGAAACACCAGGUAAGCUCUUUCACUUCUGGAAAGCUGGCUUGUCUGCCGUCUCAGUCUGGAUUCGAGCCUAACAACUGCUAUUGUUUAGUAGCUUCUCGUAGCUGUUUUUUUUUUCCCCAAUGCCUUGUCGGUGUGUCUGAAAUGGAAAUCGGUGAGGCAUCGAUUUAUUUUAUGUUUUUUUUAACCACGAUCCGGUCCGAUCCAGCUGGGGGAGAGCAAUACAGAGGUUUGCGUGUAAUUUGUAAUUAUUUUCAUCCUAAGACGCAGACGAUGUAUUUGGCGAAUAGACGGCCUGAACACUAAGCCAGUGUUUAAUUAUCUAGUCAGUUCGUUUCGUCUAGAUGAACGUUUUGUGUGGUUAUUUACAUAUAAAUGUAAAUCUUCGAGUCAGAUAUAGGCGCUAUUUUGUAGGAAUCGGAUUUAACCGCACCUUCCCUAUCUGACUGUUAAUAACGGUUCAGUUGUGAGGGCCACCACGAAUUUCUCCGUCCUGUUGUUUUUUUUUUGUUUUUUUUUUAAUCAUUUAUGCUUUAACCAGCAGGUGGCAAUAAUUACACCAAACCAAAAUUCUCCACAAUUUCUCUGUAUGGCCAAAAAUCUGUAGACACCUGACCAUCGCAGGAAAAUGUGAUUUCUUCUCCAAACUGUUGCCACAAUGUUGGAAACCCACACCGCUAGUAACAGUUCUACAAUUUCACUUCACUGAUUCUAAGAGGCUUCAUCCUGCUCCUUCGGGAUGAACCGGAACCAUGACUGAAACCCAACAUCGGCGUCUGAUCUCUCUGACGCUCUCGUAGAAGAUCGAUCACAAAUCCUCAGAGCAAAUAGCGGAAAGACGUCUGCUACGACAGCAAAAAGAAGAUUAAACAUGGAGUGAAAUGUUUGACUAACACGCGACGGUGCGAUGGUCACGAGUGCACAAACACGCUCAUGCUGCCUCCUUAAAGACCAGACGGUAAGGAGGUUUCGGUUUCAGACAGCCGGGAUUUUCAGUGUUAUCGUGACGAUCAGGGCUUUGAGAGACUUCACCCUACGUUUCCUUUACUCACCCCUGGGUAGAUGAUGCACUGGGUCAUGUGAGAGCAUUGAAAAAAGAUCCUUACUCAACCCCUAAGCAUCCUUUCUCCUCUCUUCCCUCAUGUUUGCAGAAGACUGGAUUUAACAGUGCACCCGUAUGUAAAUACGAAUAACGUUUUAGAUUGUGAAAAGUAGCAUGAGGUUGUGUUUUUUUUUUUUUUUUUUUUACGGUUUCAAAAGCAAAAACACUUUAUUAAUAUUAUGGCGAAAUAAUAUUGUUGUUUAUUUUGUAUAUCUGUACUUUAGGUUGUUUUAUUAAUUUAUGUCACAGCCCAAACAGGUUAUUUUUAUUCCAAAUAAAUGAGACGUGGUUUUGCUCUAUUUAUACAACUGGUCUAGUGAAACACUAAAAAAAAAAAAAAAAAAAAAAAUAUUCUUGAUCUUGUCUCUUUACCUCAGACUUCCCGGUUCUGACUUGACGUUAUCACAACACGAAGAAGCAGUGUAGCACGACAGACAACAUGGUGCACGUGUUGUGAAACAUGUAACAUUCAAUGGGAAUCGACCAGCAGGUUCUCUCAGUUCUCUUCUUUCUUUUUCUCCUGGCAACAAAAAACGCACUUUGGUUUUUACUGAACUUUUUUCCCGCUCACUGCAACGCCACCGAUCGUCGCUGUACCAUCGUCAGUGCACGCAAACGUAUUACCGUAACCCCCGGACACGCCAUACGAGUAAAAGUAUUUAACAGUCAUAUUCAGGGCCUGGUUGGAAGUCGUUGUUACAUAUUGUACAUAUGAAAUUUUAUGCUACUCCUUCCUUCGAAUAAAGUAUAGUGACUGCUCUGA